UACGUAGGGAGCAAGCGUUGUCCGGAAUCAUUGGGCGUAAAGCGCGCGUAGGUGGCUUCGUAAGUCCGUUGUGAAAGUCAAAGGCUCAACCUUUGAAAGCCGAUGGAUACUGUGAAGCUAGAGUACGGAAGAGGCGAGUGGAAUUCCUGGUGUAGCGGUGGAAUGACGCAGAUAUCAGGAGGAACACCAAUAGCGAAGGCAGCUCGCUGGGACGUUACUGACACUGAGGCGCGAAAGCGUGGGGAGCGAACAGG
rnacentral:rRNA from 1 species